rnacentral:rRNA from 1 species
UAGGGAAUCUUCGGCAAUGGGGGGAACCCUGACCGAGCAACGCCGCGUGAGUGAAGAAGGUUUUCGGAUCGUAAAGCUCUGUUGUUAAGGAAGAACGAGUGUGAGAAUGGAAAGUUCAUACUGUGACGGUACUUAACCAGAAAGGGACGGCUAACUACGUGCCAGCAGCCGCGGUAAUACGUAGGUCCCGAGCGUUGUCCGGAUUCAUUGGGCGUAAAGCGAGCGCAGGCGGUUAGAAAAGUCUGAAGUGAAAGGCAGUGGCUCAACCAUUGUAGGCUUUGGAAACUGUUUAACUUGAGUGCAGAAGGGGAGAGUGGAAUUCCAUGUGUAGCGGUGAAAUGCGUAGAUAUAUGGAGGAACACCGGUGGCGAAAGCGGCUCUCUGGUCUGUAACUGACGAUGAGGCUCGAAAGCGUGGGGAGCGAACAGG